rnacentral:rRNA from 1 species
CCAGACUCCUACGGGAGGCAGCAGUGGGGAAUAUUGCACAAUGGGGGAAACCCUGAUGCAGCGACGCCGCGUGAGCGAUGAAGUAUUUCGGUAUGUAAAGCUCUAUCAGCAGGGAAGAAAAUGACGGUACCUGACUAAGAAGCCCCGGCUAACUACGUGCCAGCAGCCGCGGUAAUACGUAUGGUGCAAGCGUUAUCCGGAUUUACUGGGUGUAAAGGGAGCGCAGGCGGCACGGCAAGUCCGGUGUGAAAGCCCGGGGCCCAACCCCGGGACUGCACUGGAAACUGCCGGGCUGGAGUGUCGGAGGGGCAGGCGGAAUUCCUAGUGUAGCGGUGAAAUGCGUAGAUAUUAGGAGGAACACCGGUGGCGAAGGCGGCCUGCUGGACGACGACUGACGCUGAGGCUCGAAAGCGUGGGGAGCAAACAGGAUUAGAUACCCCAGUAA